rnacentral:rRNA from 1 species
GACAGAGGGUGCAAACGUUGUUCGGAAUGACUGGGCGUAAAGCGCGUGUAGGCGGCUCGGCAAGUCGGAUGUGAAAGCCCUGGGCUCAACCCAGGAAGUGCACUCGAAACUGCCGAGCUGGAGUCCCGGAGAGGAAGGCGGAAUUCUCGGUGUAGAGGUGAAAUUCGUAGAUAUCGAGAAGAACACCGGUGGCGAAGGCGGCAUCCUGGACCGACACUGACGCUGAGGAGCGAAAGCCAGGGGAGCAAACGGG